UUUGUGAAUUGUAGCAUUAAAGGAAAUUAGUCUCACAGCAAUCGCUAGUUAAGUAUUCUGGAAUGGAUCGUCAAGGAGGGUGAAAUUCCCGUAUACACUAGAUAGAAAGCUGCAAAGAACUUUUAUCCUACGAGUCGUGUUGCUUGUUAAUGCAGCAUUAAUUGGGAGGUAAAUUCCUUCUAAAGCUAAAUAUAAGAGAGAGACCGAUAGCAAACAAGUACCGUGAGGGAAAGAUGAAAGAGAACCCUGAAAAGGGGACUCAAAAGAAUGUGAAAUUGUCAAAAGGUAAGCGCUAAGAAUUGUUCGGAAUCUGAAUUUCAACUUUUAUCAGGGGAAACUCUGUAGUUAAA
rnacentral:rRNA from 1 species